UACGGAGGGUGCAAGCGUUAUCCGGAUUCACUGGGUUUAAAGGGUGCGUAGGUGGGAAUGUAAGUCAGUGGUGAAAUCUUCGUGCUUAACAUGGAAACUGCCAUUGAUACUAUGUUUCUUGAAUUUUCUGGAGGUAAGCGGAAUAUGUCAUGUAGCGGUGAAAUGCUUAGAUAUGACAUAGAACACCAAUUGCGAAGGCAGCUUGCUACAGGGAUAUUGACACUGAGGCACGAAAGCGUGGGGAUCAAACAGG
rnacentral:rRNA from 1 species